GCCGCGCUUUGAUAAGGUCCUGGCAACUCAGUAACAACCCGAGCGCCGGGAAAUAAAAAUAGCCGCUCGCAGCCAUGGACCUCGGGGCCGCCCGGCGUCCCAGGCGCCCGUCUCCCCCGCCGAGAGCCCUGCAGUAGAAGAAAGGAGGCUCAGAUGAGCCCCUGCUGACUUGAGAGAGAAAGAGAGACCACGCUGAUUGCUGAGAGGAACUGGGGGAAGGGAACAAACAAACUCCGUCGCGAAGAACUCCCUCACCAUGAGCAGUGCUGUGUUGGUGACUCGCCUCCCAGACCCCAGCAGCAGCUUCCACGAGGAUGCCCCCCGACCCCCGGUUCCGGGGGAGGAAGGGGAGACCCCGCCGUGCCAGCCCGGGCUAGGAAAGGGUCAGGUCACCAAACCCAUGCCCGUGUCCUCCAACGCCAGGCGCAAUGAGGAUGGGUUGGGGGAGCCCGAGGGGCGGGCGUCCCCGGAUUCCCCUCUGACCCGGUGGACCAAGUCCUUGCACUCCUUGUUGGGCGAUCAAGAUGGUGCUUAUCUCUUCCGCACUUUCCUGGAGAGGGACAAAUGCGUGGAUACCUUAGACUUCUGGUUUGCCUGCAACGGAUUCAGGCAGAUGAACCUGAAGGAUACCAAAACUUUACGAGUAGCCAAAGCGAUCUACAAAAGGUACAUCGAGAACAACAGCAUUGUCUCCAAGCAGCUGAAGCCUGCCACCAAAACCUACAUAAGAGAUGGCAUCAAGAAGCAGCAGAUUGAUUCCAUCAUGUUUGACCAGGCACAGACUGAGAUCCAGUCGGUGAUGGAAGAAAAUGCCUACCAGAUGUUUUUGACUUCUGAUAUAUACCUCGAAUAUGUGAGGAGUGGGGGAGAAAACACAGCUUACAUGAGUAACGGGGGACUGGGCAGCCUCAAGGUCGUGUGUGGCUAUCUCCCCACCUUGAAUGAGGAAGAGGAGUGGGCUUGUGCGGACUUCAAGUGCAAACUGUCACCCACCGUGGUUGGCCUGUCCAGCAAAACCCUGAGGGCGACGGCGAAUGUGAGGUCCACGGAGACUGUUGAAAAUGGAUACAGGUCCUUCAAGAGGAGCGAUCCCGUUAAUCCAUACCACGUAGGUUCUGGCUAUGUCUUCGCGCCAGCUACCAGCGCCAAUGAUAGUGAGAUCUCCAGCGAUGCGCUGACGGAUGACUCCAUGUCCAUGACGGACAGCAGCGUAGAUGGAAUCCCUCCUUACCGUGUGGGGAGUAAGAAACAGCUCCAGAGAGAAAUGCAUCGCAGUGUGAAGGCCAAUGGCCAAGUGUCUCUACCUCAUUUCCCGAGAACCCACCGCCUGCCCAAGGAGAUGACCCCCGUGGAGCCCGCCACCUUCGCGGCCGAGCUCAUCUCCAGGCUGGAGAAGCUGAAGCUGGAGCUGGAGAGCCGCCACAGCCUGGAGGAGCGCCUGCAGCAGAUCCGAGAGGAUGAAGAGAAGGAGGCUUCCGAGCUAGCGCUGAGCUCCAGAGAAGGGGGGCCCACCCCGCACCCCCUCUCCCUCCUGCCCUCCGGCAGCUAUGAGGAGGACCCGCAGACCAUUCUGGACGACCACCUGUCCAGGGUCCUCAAGACCCCGGGCUGCCAGUCGCCGGGUGUGGGCCGCUACAGCCCCCGCUCCCGUUCCCCCGACCACCACCACCACCACCACCAGCAGUACCACCCCCUGCUCCCGCCCGGGGGCAAGUUGCCCCCCAUGGCAGCCUCGCAGGCUGGUUGCCCCCUCCUUGGAGCCAAGGGCUUCGUGACCAAGCAGACGACGAAGCAUGUCCACCACCACUACAUCCACCACCACGCCCUCCCCAAGACCAAGGAGGAGAUCGAGGCAGAGGCGGCACAGAGGGUGCGCUGCUUCUGCCCCGGGGGCACCGAGUAUUACUGCUACUCAAAGUGUAGGAGCCACCCCAAGGCUCUGGAGCCCGUGCAGGCGGAGCAGUUCAGCAGCAGCAGAGGCAGUACCCUGCCCAAACGAAAUGGGAAAAGCGUGGAGCCGGGCCUGGCCCUGCCCGCCAGGGAAGGAGGGGCCCCAGGCGGAGCUGGGGUCCUGCAACUUCCCGGGGAGGAAGGAGACAGGUCGCAGGAUGUCUGGCAGUGGAUGCUGGAGAGUGAGCGGCAGAGCAAGCCCAAGCCCCCUAGUGCCCAAAGCACAAAGAAGGCUUACCCCUUGGAGUCGGCCCGUGCGUCCCCAGCCGAGCGAGCUGGCCGGCACCACCUGCUGGGGGGUAGCAACGGGCACCCCCGUGCCGCCCCCCGAGCCCACCCGUUCACCCAGGACCCCGCCAUGCCUCCCCUGACCCCGCCCAACACGCUGGCACAGCUGGAGGAGGCCUGCCGCCGGCUGGCCGAGGUGUCCAAGCCCCCAAAGCAGCGGUGCUGUGCAGCCAGUCAGCAGAGGGACAGGAACCACUCGGCCACUGGUCAGACAGGAGCCACGCCCUUCUCCAACCCAGGCCUGGCUUCAGAAGAUCACAAAGAGCCAAAGAAGCUGGCGGGGGUCCACGCGCUCCAGGCCAGCGAGUUGGUCGUCACAUACUUUUUCUGUGGAGAAGAAAUUCCAUACAGGAGGAUGCUGAAGGCUCAGAGCUUGACCCUGGGCCACUUUAAAGAGCAGCUCAGCAAAAAGGGAAAUUAUAGACACAAGGUGAAACUAAUUACACAAGUGUGCCCCUCCAGGGAUUCAUUUUGAUCUCAGCUCUGACUCGGCUGGACUUUGAGUGGAACUGCAGGUGACCUUCAGGGGAGCAGGGCCAUGGAGCGCCGAGCAGAGGCUACCGGGGAGGCUUCGCGCUCAGCCACUCCGGCCACAUCUGGCUCUGAUUUUUUUUUUUUUUUUCCUAAGGCGCACUUAAUAAGCCUGGCUUUGAAGCCCCGGCCUCCCUUUUAACGCACAAAGACUUGCACAAAUGGUUGACUCUCAAAUUCUUUACUGAUUGGAUCAGGCUGUGGCCAGACCCUUCCCGGCCGCCUUAUCUCCCUGGCCUGGCUCUCCGGCCGGAGCUGGACCCCUUGCCCUCCUGGCUCGUGGAGGCACCGGGUGCCCUGCCUGGCCCUCCCAGCAGGGGUGGUGCUCCCGUCCUGCAGCGCCCCCCCCCCACCCUCCCAAUAAAAAGCCCGGCGAGGAUGGGGCCGCCGAGUGGGGGGACCUGGGCUGCACUGAGUAAUCUCAACAUGGCAGAGGUUCAAAAGGAGAACAGUCUCUCCAGACGUGCCAGACGCUAUUGGUGCCAGAUGUCAGAAGAAAGCAAAGUUUGCCACAUAAAGCAUGUUGCAGUGGAAAAGCCCGUUUCUUGGAGAAGACGAGGGCAGCACAAGUAUUACUUCAAGAAAGCAAGCGACGAGUUUGCCUGCGGAGCGGUGUUUGAGGAGAUCUGGGACGAUGAGGCGGUGCUCCCCAUGUACGAAGGCAGGAUUCUGGGGAAGGUGGAGAGGAUCGACUGAGCCUCGGGGGUCGGGCCCCGGCGGACGCGGGGCCACCGCCCGCGCCACCAGCCUGGGCCAUGACCGACCGCGACGAGACCUUUUGAAGGAAAACGAAACCAAUGAAGAAGACAGAGUCUAGGGAAGACUUGGCCACUGGCCACGCGGGGAGGGCGGGGAGGGGGGAGGUUGGUUUUCAUUAUUCACGAGCUGGGUACUGAGAUAAGAAAAGCCUGAACUAUUUAUUAAAAACAUGACCACUCUUGGCUAUUGAUGAUGCUGACUGUAUUUGAGAGACUGCCAUACAUAAUAUAUGACUGCCUAGGGAUCUGAAAUCCAUAAACUAAGAGAAACUGUGUAUAGCUUACCUGAACAGGAGUCCUUACUGCUAUUUAUUGAACAAUUGAUUCCCCCCAGCCCCCAGUUUAUGGAUAUGCUGCUUUAAACACGGAAGGGGGAGAGGAGGGGAAGUUUUAAUUGUCCUAUCUAUCCCAGCUUGGGAGUGGAGCGAGGGGCGCGUUAAUGAUUUCUUCGUUAAGAGGGGAAUUAUUAUGCUUGGCCCUGCAUUUCUCCGAGUGAGGAUAGACUUGUUUAAAUGGUGCCCUACCAUUAACACACGCGAAAUUGGUGCAUUUUUUUUUUUUUUCCCUAUGCUGCUCUGUUUUGUCUUAAAGGUCUUGAGGAUUGAUUUAUGUUGCAACAUCACCGCCAUUUGGGGCCAUCGUGUGGGACUGGAUCCAUCGUGAGGGUGGGAGGGGGGGAAGCCUCAUUUGGAGGACCCCAGAUUAACUCUAACUUCUCUUAACUCCCCACCAAGGCCCAGUGUCCAGUGCCCGAGGCCCCCUAGAACCUUGUAGUUCAACUCGUGCUUGUAUCGAAACAACAGUUCCUUGGAGUGUUGGUUGGUUGGUUGAUUUCAUUUUUAAAUUAGUCUUUGGACCACCACCAUUCUGGAAACCACCACCACCCGCUUGCCCUGCAAAGAAGCGGACAGUUGUGGGAAGACCUAGCAGCACCCUUUCCUCCAGACACCUUCAUUUUGACGUUCGGGUUUUUGUGUUAAGUUAAUCUGUACAUUCUGUUUGCCAUUGUUACCUGUACUAUACGUCUGUAUAUAUUGUACGACAGAAGAGUAUUAAUCCACUAUCUCUAGUGCUUGACUUGAAAUCAGUACAGUACCUGUACCUGCACGGCGCCCCGCUCCGUGUGUCGCCCUAUAUUGAGGGCUCCAACUUUCCCUUGUUUUUUGAAAGGGGUUUAUGUAUAAAUAUAUUUUAUGCCUUUUUAUUACAAGUCUUGUACUCAAUGACUUUUGCCAUGGCAUUUUGUUCUACUUAUACUGUAAAUUAUGCAUUAUAAAGAGUUCAUUUAAGGAAAAUUACUUGGUACAAUAAUUAUUGUAAUUAAGAGAUGUAGCCUUUAUUAAAAUUUUAUAUUUUUCAAAACA